rnacentral:lncRNA from 1 species
GUACGCAGUCCACCCAAAGCCACACUUAUGUCACUUACAGUGGGAUCUCUCAGGAUACAGCCAAUUAAAUUUCACAGGCAUGGAUGAGUAAUUAAAAACUAGGUAUCACUUGGGGUCUGUUCUCCUGUGAGAUCAUUUUCAGCAGCUAUGGAACUAUGCAGCUGCUGAAUUUAAUAGGUUUACACCUUAAAAAAUAAAUUCCUUUCAUUUUCUUUUGAUGAGUGAGCGGGAAGGUACCACGCAGAACAACCUGGGGGAAGAAACAUCAGUUUGGCACUACCACUACCACUGGCAGACUGGUCACAGCAACAAAAUGCAGUGGUGUACAUGAGCCCUACAAACUUGAAAUGCAGCCUGAACAACAGUUUGGCAACAUAUUUAAUUAUAAAAUUCUUCUUUUCUCCCUACUGCUGUAAAGGGCCACAGCUGUGCAAGAGACCUUGGUGAUGACACGCUCUCUACACCUUCAGGGCUCCUCCACUUGCAGAAGAUGAGCAUCUGCACCACUGACACUAGACUGCAACCCCAGGCUUGGGUAGUUUGGGUUUAAUAUGCAAGAUGAGAGGGAGGAGAAGGCUCAGACGGUUUUGGAGCUCAUUCGGUUAUCUGCAAUGGUACGUGCUCAUCGGUGUCCCUGGUGUUCUGCUUGUAAAUGACUGGCAUUAAACCCUGAUCUGUCCCCAUGGUACAGGGUCAGAGCCAGGAAUUUAUUCAGAGAGAGAAUUACAGCUCUUGCCUGUGGGGACCAUACAGAUGAAAGGGUUUGAUUUUCCUUUUGCGGGCAUGGGGAGAGGCUGCAGACAGCCACCUCAUUACUGCUAAUGGGCCCUGCAGACGGGCAGGGAGUGCAGCACACUCAUCGGAGAGCAGGCCCUCAGUCUGCAUUGCACUCCGGGACCAAAUCUGCAAAAGCAAGGGAAGGUGUGGAGGGUGAAGGGCAAAGCUAAAGGAAUUGCACAAAGCACGUGAUGGGAGCUUUCCUUGGCACUGCAUACAGUACGAUUUGAACUCACAGCUCUCAUACCAUAAAACCAGGCUUUUUGCCUUUAUGUGAUUGCCUUUUCCUGAAGGAGAGAUUGAUACACCCAUGGGCCACAUGAGGCAAUACAUCUGCAGCAAUGCUUUGUGGACAAAUCCAGCAUUAUAGGUCUUCUCAGUGGUUUCUUCGAAGAGAAAGGCGUUCUCCCUGCAUUUUUCUCCCUCUCAGAGUUGAGAGGGUUUGAGGUGAAGGAUCAAAGCACUCAUGAUGUCUGGGAAUUUCACUCAAAUGGCUUCUUUUAAUUCACAGCCUGCAGCUACAGCCAGAUGCACAGGCGAUGAGAGGGACGAGAGCUGCCCGGCUGCAGCCCCAG